AAGCUUUUUCCUUUCAAUUGAAUCUAAAACUAUACUGUACUUCACACUUGAUUGGUCCUUCAGAUGGAAGGAUUCAAUAUCCCUGCUGGAAAUCAGCUCGUCUUCUUCACACAGUGCUGUUGAACGUGGAAAGAACUUAUUUCUGAGGCAUAAUUACCAGCUCUAACAUAUGAAAAGUUGAUGAUAGACAGACAUACAGCAUAAAUGUAUCGAGGACAAAAAAAUAUCUUCUGAAUGCAGCCGUCAGCGAGCCAUUGAAUGUCCUGUAGCAAAGGCCUCAGUGACAAAGACAAUGUCAAGUGCUGACUACUCACCUUAUAGACCAGGAGCUGGGAAUCUAACUCCAGGCCCUUAGUCAGGUCACACCUUCAUAGUCCACUGGGGGCAGUAUGUUCUGCUAGCUGGAACAUCCAUUUCUGAGUGCUGGAAUCCCACCAUCUGCUGUACCUUUGGUCCACACUCAAAGAAGUCAGCAGGUAUUCCUGGAGAUGACAUCAGCAGGAGACCGGAUGUUGCCAAAGAAGAAAACAGGCACUGCCAAGCGCGAAAGGCAGCUAGUGCCGGUAUAAGGAUGCCCCCUCUCCCUCUCAAAUAGCUGGAUUCAGUGACCAACGUGCAGUUUGGGAGACAUUUAUCUUCUUACAUGUGUGAGACAAGAGAUUGAGGCAAGCUUAUGGAACUUCCUAGAAGAAAAAUUAUCAAAAUCCUCAGCACAAACUCAUUACUGUUUUCUUAAAAUGCUUAGCCUCUGUGUAUGUGUGUAUGUACUGAAUGCAGGGUAACAAUUCCUACAUAUACCUUUAGUAGUCAAUAUGCAUAGAAUAGAAAAUAGAGCUGUGAUAAUUAUUUUUUAAUCCUGGUUAACUAAUUAAAAGUGCUGUAUGAGAAUACAAGACAGGUAGUCCCAGUCUUCCUUUGCAUGAGAUUUUUAUGUCUUUUCCUUGUCAACAAAGCUGAAGCCGAAAUGGCCAUGUGAGACUGUGUAAGAGCUUGACAUGAAAAGAUGGGGUCUGAGGCUGGUGCUAGGAUAUUUCAUUUUGCCCACCUAGGUGGGUGUUAUUGAAUCUGUGUCUCCUGAAAGAGCAAGCUGUGUGAUAAUUGUCUUUUCAUCUGUUGAUGAAAAGUCGCUUGCUCAUGUUAAUGUUCCCUGGGACAGAAAGGCCAGAUCCAGUUUAGAUACAACUGUUUCUCAUCUUUCGUCCGACCUUGAUAGCACUAUCACAUCAUUUACCAGUGCACUCUGGCAAAACUGAUUGCAGCAAUCAUCUUGUAUGUCCAUGUGUAGAGGUGUGAGGUGGGGUUGUCUCUUUUGACUGAAUCUGUAAGUAACAGCAUUGCUAAAAGCUUUGCCUCUUUAUCCCAUCUACAUCUUCUAUCAUAUACACUGAGUUAGUGACAGCACAGGAGGUAAUUGUCAGCCUGCCUGGAAGAUCCAAUUUGUGCAUUAAAAUAAUGCUGUCCUGAUCUUGUAGCACCAGUUUGUUUAUUCGUUUUUUUGUGAAGUAUUUUUGCUCACCAGCCCAUAAACCCACAC
rnacentral:lncRNA from 1 species